CUCCGCCUUUGCUUACCCUCUUGGCUAGUCUAGCGGCCAAGGCUUCCCGCUUUCGGGGAAGGCCUGCAAAGUGAGGCCUCGGGCUAGGGUUGGCGGGCGCGUGGUGGGAACCGCGUGGAACCGAAGGGCUCCCACGGGAACAAGGGCAUCACUGACGGUACGGCCUCUCGGGUCUAUUGACCCUUCUCUGCCUCCCCGGUCCGGACUCAUACAACUUGGAGGCCCAGAGGUCGUCCAGUCUCAUCUUGACGUCAGAAUGACACAGCCAGUUAUCAAAAGAAAUCUUCAAGGAAUUCCCUGUAUGCUGAGGAAUGAAGGAUGUGAGAAAGAAAUUAACUGUCUUCUGCUCUCAAGUUAGACCCCUAAGAAAACUCUUAAGAGUAUCUAAUAACUAGAGGCAUCUGUCACACCAGCAAAGAUGUCAUUAUUGUUUUUUUCUUAUCAGUCUUAGAUUAUGCUUUGCUUUAAAAUGAGAUACACCACCAGAGCUUUCCAGAUCUUUUUUUUUUUUUUUGGAGAUGGAGUCUCACUCUUGCCAGGCUAGAGUGCAGUGGUGUGGUUUUGGCUCACUGCAACCUCUGCCUCCUGGGUUCAAGUGAUUCUCCUGCCUCAGCCUCCUAAGUAGCUGGGACUACAGGCGUGCGCCACCACACCCAGCUAAUUUUUUGUAUUUUUAGUCGAGAUGGGGUUUCACCAUGUUGGUCAGGAUGGUCUCGAUCUCUUGACCUCGUGAUCCACCUGCCUCGGCCUCCCAAAGUGCUGAGAUUACAGGCGUGAUCCACCAUGCCCGGCCAGCUUUCCAGAUCUUAAAACUUUUACAUACCAGUUGCUCUUAAAGUUUCCACAUAGAGAAUUCUUUAAUAAUUCUGUUUCUGGCCGGGUGUGGUGGCUCACACCUGUAAUCCCAGCACUUUGGGAGGCCGAGGUGGGUGGAACACGAGGUCAGGAGAUCGAGACCAUCCUGGCUAACACGGUGAAACCCCGUCUCUACUAAAAAUAAAAAAAAAAAAUAGCUGGGCGUGGUGGCGGGCGCCUGUAGUCCCAGCUACUCGGGAGGCUGCGGCAGGAGAAUGGCGUGAACCCAGGAGGCGGAGCUUGCAGUGAGUUGAGAUUGUGCCACUGCACUCCAGGAUGGGUGACAGAGCGAGACUCCAUCUCAAAAAAAAAAAAAAAAAUUCUGUUUCUUUCUUUCUUUUUUUUUUUUUUUUAAGGAUGGAGUCUCACUCUGUUGCCCAGGCUGGAGUACAGUGGUAUGAUCUUGGCUCACUGCAACCUCUGCCUCCCAGGUUCAAAAAAAUCCUCCCACCUCAGCCUCCUGAGUAGCUGGGAUUACAGGUGUGUGCCACCCCACCCAGCUAAUUUUUAUAUGUUCAGUAGAGAUGAGAUUUCACCACGUUGGCCAGGCUGGUCUUGAACUCCUAACCUCAGGUGAUCCAUCCACCUCGACCUCCCAAAGUGCUGGGAUUACAGGCGUGAGCCACUGCACCUGGCCUUAAUAAUUCUGUUUAUAUAUCUGCUUCUUUACUCCCUAUUUACUGUACAUUCCCUAUGGCCCACUUUUUUUUCUCUCCUUUGUUCAAUUCAUUGUCCUUGUCCUUUUCUUUGUGAAAUGUUAACAGCAGUUAACAAGGGAUGAAUAGGAGGCAUUUAUUUUAUGUUUUCUUAUUAUAUUCUUCACUAAAUGUGUGAUGAACAAAAGUUAUUUAAAAUAAAACAAACUGCUGU
rnacentral:lncRNA from 1 species